rnacentral:lncRNA from 7 species
CUGGAGGCACGGCUGCUCGGUGCCGGGGACCUAACCUUACCCAAUCCGCCUGUUUCGUUCUCUCAUUGCAUGCCUCCCGCCAUCAUCACGCUGCACUGCCUGCUUGCUUUGCUUCCAUCCAUCCCUUUCCCUUGGUUCCUUCUCCCUUCUCCGAUCCAUAUGGUAUUGCUGCUACCAGGAUAUUGGAUGCCACACAACCAUAUGACGUUGGAUUUCCGGCAGCCCAAAAUUUAGAUUGCGUACCCCUGCGCUAAUACGAUUGGGAGAGGCCUCUGAAUUUCUGGUUAGAUUCCCGCCAGCCGCAGCGCGCGCGACGUGGCUCUAAAUCAAGAGACACAGACUUGAAUGCUGCUGCUGCAGCA